rnacentral:lncRNA from 1 species
CAUCGUGUGGUUAUAAAUUAUUUUAAAAUUUUUAUUUAAAAUUAAACACAAAUAAUAUCAGAUAAAAACUAAUCGCAUAAUUUACAAUAAACGGGUACGAUUAAAGAAUCUUCUCGAACCUCACAAAAAAGAUCUAAAGAGGAUCCUCAUUCUUUUUUUUUUGAGGUGAGUCGUGAAAUUUUCAAAAGCUUAUAUUUUAUUGGAUAAUACUUACAUUUCACUUUGACCAGAUGAGCUCAUCAUUUUAGGAGUAAUAACUUACUUACUAUCUAUUUGUAUUAUCUUUCUAAUAAAUGUAUGGUUCACCAACACAUGUGAAUCUUAUUUUUAUUAAAGAAAUUGUAUAAAUAGAUAGUAAAAUAGACGGUAAAAAUAGCAUUUUUAUUUUUUCACUUACAAAUAACGUAUUCUAAACAUAGAAAUUUUAUAAUCAUAAUUUCUUAAUUUCUUAAUCUUCAUUUGAAUAGCAUUCUAACAAUAAAACAUUCGAAACGUUAUUUAGUCAUCCAGACAUACUAAAAAAUCUCUUACCUACACCGUUCUAAUUGAUAAAGUUAGAUAAGUAAACGAUCUCCAUUUUGAAUAAGUUUUUGUAAGAAAUUCAACAGUCCCAAUUAAGAAAUUUCCAUAACGAAUAUACGUUAUUUGCAAGUGGAGAAUGAGUUCAUCCCCCAAGGAGAGAAUGCAAGCAUUAUUCCUUAUAAGGUUUAUAUAUUAUUUGCCCUUUGAAACUAUCAUUUAAUAUCAAUUUCUCAUGAAACUGGCCAAUAUAGAGCAAUUUCAUCUUAUUUUCAUCUAUUCCAUUAGAUAAACUUUAAAUGAAAAUGUAUUAUGAACUUUUCCUUUUGGAACAGGCAAAAAUAAAGGGAAAUAUAAAGAUUUAACAUGGGAUUUAUAAUGACUAGCAAGCAUAUACUUUAAUCAUUGACACUCAAUAGUGCAGUGCGAUCAAUGAUGGAUAUAACCCAAGCCUUUAAUCAUAGACACUCGCUAGUGCAAUGCGAUCCAUGUAGAGAAUGAGAGCUUUGCUUUUCUUUUAUUGUAGGAAAUGUACACAAAAAACUCUUAAAGUCAGAAAGCCUUAAUAUUUUUGCUUGUGAAUUGUUUUUUGCCUCCGAAAACCUUCUGUGAUGAGUUGCAUCAAUUAAUGGCAUUGCCUCCAAAAACCUUCUGUCAUGAAUUGUUUUUAGUGGGGUAGUGAUCCAGAUUCAAGGAAAAUUCAUUGGAGGGUGUGAGAUAAAUUGUGCAUUGCUAAACAGGAAGGUGAUAUGGGUUUCCAAAAUCUUUAUGCUUUUAAUUUGGCGGUGUGGAGCAAAAAAUAAUUAAGAAAAUUAUGAAAGCGACACGUGUACUUUUGGGUGAAAAUGACAAAAUUACCCUUGAACCACACCGGGAUUCCCAUGCGCAUGCAACGGACAAUAAUGGCUCAAUCAAGGAAGAGUCAAAGGUGAUCAAAAUGGUAUUUAUUCAAAACCCUCUCAUCACUCCUCAUCAAAUCCUCACUCAAAAGGUAACUCCCAAUUUUCUUAUUCAAUUUGGGAUUAAUUACCAAGUUAAUUGCAAUUACACUCACAAUUUGACCAUAUGUGGCCGGCCCCUAUUCUCCAAAUAGGACCAGUCACUCCCCUGUAAAUAGAUGUGCUUUCCCACUAAAAUGCUAGGCCAUUCUCUCUCCAAAAAUUCCUAAACACUUUCUUUCUCAAAUUCUAAUUUUGGCAUCGGAGAUUCUUCGGGCAAAGCCCCCCUCCUAUUCAUCGUGGGCACGUGAGGCUUUUGGCCUUAAUCGUAGGUGUUAUUAUUUUGCAAGUGCAUUUUCGUCAAGGGAGAAGAUGACGGAAAUUUGCAUCCACAAAUUGGUGCUUUCAUUGAGAGUUUGAUUCACACGCUCGAAGAAGACUCUCUCAUUCAAAGUUUCUCAUUUCUUGUUCGUUCGUAAAUUUUUCAUACUUUCUUAUUCCUAUAAUUUUUUAAUUCUUUGAAUAGAGGUAAAGGAAAAAUAAAAUUAUGGGAAAUUCGGAAACCACGAUGAACGGAACUUCCUACGUUUAAAUAUCUGGAUCAAAUGAUGAAGGACGAAACGUAGCCCCACCACGACAAUCCACGAGGCUCAACGCAAUGGCAAGAGAAGCAACUUUGCCACCACAAAGCACCACCACCAUGGCAGCCACGGGGACCACUGUGGCAGUGGGGAGUGGGCUAGCUCUGUGGCAGCGGGACCAUCAGGCCAUGGCCCAAGAUGAGAAAGCCAUGUAGGCAGCCCAGCUU